UGGGGAAUCUUGGACAAUGGGGGCAACCCUGAUCCAGCAAUGCCGCGUGAGUGAAGAAGGCCUUCGGGUUGUAAAGCUCUUUUGUCAGGGAAGAAACGGUAGUAGCGAAUAACUAUUACUAAUGACGGUACCUGAAGAAUAAGCACCGGCUAACUACGUGCCAGCAGCCGCGGUAAUACGUAGGGUGCAAGCGUUAAUCGGAAUUACUGGGCGUAAAGCGUGCGCAGGCGGUUGUGUAAGUCAGAUGUGAAAUCCCCGGGCUCAACCUGGGAAUUGCAUUUGAGACUGCACGGCUAGAGUGUGUCAGAGGGGGGUAGAAUUCCACGUGUAGCAGUGAAAUGCGUAGAUAUGUGGAGGAAUACCGAUGGCGAAGGCAGCCCCCUGGGAUAACACUGACGCUCAUGCACGAAAGCGUGGGGAGCAAACAGGAUUAGAUACCCGCGUAGUCCCUGAGCGGGCUGGCAAGGCGCAU
rnacentral:rRNA from 1 species